ensembl:misc_RNA Metazoa_SRP Metazoan signal recognition particle RNA
GCUGGGCAUGGUAGCACAUGCCUGUAAUCCCAGCUACUCGGGAGGCUGAGGCAGGAGAAUCGCUUGAACCCAGGAGAUGGAGAUUGCAGUGAGCUGAGAUCUCACCACUGCACUCCAGCCUGGGUGACAGAGCGAGACUCCGUCUCAA